rnacentral:rRNA from 1 species
UACGUAGGGUGCAAGCGUUAAUCGGAAUUACUGGGCGUAAAGCGUGCGCAGGCGGUUGUGUAAGACAGAUGUGAAAUCCCCGGGCUCAACCUGGGAAUUGCAUCUGUGACUGUAUAGCUAGAGUACGGUAGAGGGGGAUGGAAUUCCGCGUGUAGCAGUGAAAUGCGUAGAUAUGACGGAGGAACACCGGUGGCGAAGGCGGCUCUCUGGACCGUAACUGACGCUGAGGCGCGAAAGCGUGGGGAGCAAACAGG